AGACACUAUAUUUUUUUCUUUUAUAAUGUGAGUGGAUCAACUUUCAGGCAGGACCACAUGAUUUGUUUGGACUCCACUUUACUGCACACUGGUGAGAAAUUUGUCCCCAGAGAGAGAAUAGCAUUGAAGUUCCAGCCUGACCCUCCACUUCAAGUUCAGAUUCCUACAACUGGUUGUUUCCUGGCUGUUGGGAGAAGUCAUUGCAUUGUAUUUGAGACCAGAUCAGCAGAGGUCAAAGUGCAGGAGACUUGACUGAAGGUGUGUUAUUAGGAAAGUGAGCAUUUCAGUAAUCAUUCUGAACUUGAUAUGAAGACGAAUAAUAGGACACAGACAUCUUUGAUCUGCUGACGGAGGCCCAGACGUGGCCUGGUAUUUCUUGCUAGUACUAUAUCUCUAGAGUUCAUAUAAAUCAAUUUACGGGAACAUUAUUUAUUCCUCUCUCCAAAACGACUUGCCA
rnacentral:lncRNA from 1 species